GUGCCAGCAGCCGCGGUAAUACGUAAGGACCGAGCGUUGUCCGGAAUCAUUGGGCGUAAAGGGUACGUAGGCGGUUAAAAAAGUUAGAAGUGAAAGGCUAUAGCUCAACUAUAGUAAGCUUUUAAAACUGUUUAACUUGAGAGAUGGAAGGGAAAGUGGAAUUCCUAGUGUAGCGGUGAAAUGCGCAGAUAUUAGGAGGAAUACCGGUGGCGAAGGCGACUUUCUGGCCAUUAUCUGACGCU
rnacentral:rRNA from 1 species